ensembl:lncRNA MIR100HG mir-100-let-7a-2-mir-125b-1 cluster host gene
GUUGCAAUGAUGGGGUCUAAGAUAACACUUCUGGAGGCUGCAGGCGAGAAACACAGCUGAUAUCAUCUUUUAUUGUGUGUUGUUAUUUGCCUAGCAUUAUAAAUUAAGGAGGAAUAGUAACAAAGAGCUUGAAGACAUGCACAGCUCACAGGCCCCGGGUGGAGGCUGGCGACAUCAGACAGACAGAACCAAGACAUCUGAGGGGCAACCAGGAGGUGCGUGUGGCUGCAGAGCACACAGGAUAUGAAUCAGAGAGAAAGAACUGAAGUCUUGUCUCAGGAAGAAAGAGGGCAGGCAGAGGAUUUUUCACUGACUUGUCUUUGGACAAAAUUGAGAAGAACUCAUAAACUUGGCUUCCUCGCUUCUGCUCCUCAGACGCGCGUGGAUGAUUUGAAGAUAUUAGCCUAACAAGAUGGAAGCAGGUUUAAAAUUUUACAUAAGAAGUUACCUUUUUCAGGUAAUGGUGUUUUUCUGUAAUUUUCCCAAACCUUUCGCUUCCUCAAGUAUUGCAAAUUUUUAGGGCAUGCUUGAAUGAUUUAAUUAUGAAGAAUAACUACAUUUUAAACUUAAUUUUUUAAAAAAGAAACCAGUUUUAUAAUUUUCCUAGCCAAGGAGUAGAGCAGGCAUGACAUUCAACUCUAUGGAGUUUGGAAAAUUUUUAGAAAUUUAUUACUGAACAGCACUUGGUUUUUUGGAUUUGAAAAUUAAGCCAUAGAGCUACAACUAAAUUCUGUUUUGCCAAACUUCACAGCACCAGCAGGCUCUGAGCAAUCAUAAGCAUUUGAAACUAGCAGGCACUGCCCCUUAACUCUGUCGCUAUCUUGGGCAUUUGAAUGAAAAAAUAUAAGUAUUACAGGAUUGGCUCUAAAAAGCCUACCAUGUGUUCUGAAUUCCUGGAAGAUAGAGCUUAUAUAAAUUACAUAAUAACAAUAUUGAUUUUUUUUUUUACUUUAGUCAUAGAUUGGCAAUACUAUAUGGCACUUUAUGAAACUAUUCCCAUGCAUAUAUUCAGUGAGUAGGAUUUGAUCUUAGCUUUCAUGAUACAGGCAGUUUCCUUUUAGUGUCAUUGAAGGGCUUUAUGCCACCUAAAAAUGUUUAAUAACAUAAAUUAUAUAUUUGCUUUAUAAGUUACAUUACUCGGCCUUUGUCACUGCUUAUCAGCAUUAACCCAUAUUUUCCAACUUGUUAAUAUUACUAAGAGAGCCCACGGAUUCU